rnacentral:lncRNA from 1 species
UUCAUUUCUAUAUAAUGCUCAGUGUUAAGGAUUUUAUAAGUUGGCGAAUUUCGUGAUGGUUUGGAUAGAGUCUCGAAGAAUUAGAAGAUGAAGAUUGACGAAAAGAAUUGAAGUUCUUAUGAUCAAAGACCCUUGAGAACUCAGGUAUGAUUAUAAAUAAUUUGUGGUGAAGUUUUCAUUGUUAAAAGAUGUUUAGAAGACUUGGUUUCAUUCUUGUUUAUUCAAAAUUAAGUUUUCUGGAAAA